GCCAGACUCCUACGGGAGGCAGCAGUGGGGAAUAUUGCACAAUGGGGGAAACCCUGAUGCAGCGACGCCGCGUGAGCGAUGAAGUAUUUCGGUAUGUAAAGCUCUAUCAGCAGGGAAGAAAAUGACGGUACCUGACUAAGAAGCCCCGGCUAACUACGUGCCAGCAGCCGCGGUAAUACGUAGGGGGCAAGCGUUAUCCGGAUUUACUGGGUGUAAAGGGAGCGUAGACGGCGGUGCAAGCCAGAUGUGAAAGCCCGGGGCUCAACCCCGGGACUGCAUUUGGAACUGUGCUGCUAGAGUGUCGGAGAGGCAGGCGGAAUUCCUAGUGUAGCGGUGGAAUGCGCAGAUAUUGGGAAGAACACCGGCGGCGAAGGCGGCCUGCUGGACUGCAACUGACGUUGGGGCCCGAAAGCGUGGGGAGCAAACAGGAUUAGAUACCCUAGUA
rnacentral:rRNA from 1 species